rnacentral:lncRNA from 1 species
UCCCCCCAACCCUCAAUCACGCAGGAGGGACGUCACACCGUUGAUGGCGAACGAAACUUCGGUCCCAUUAAAUAAAAAGCUAGCAGGAUUCAGAGGAGGUGACCCCGUGAUGAGAUGGAUCCCCCAUCCUCCCCCUGACCCACGUCGUCUCGUUUUCACUUCACACGCUUGCCAGCCACAAUGGUCUAUAAUUCCUCCAUGAGUUGUACCCCUCGCGUCCUUUUCCUUCCGACAAAGGAAAAAAGGUU